UACAGAGGGUGCGAGCGUUAAUCGGAAUUACUGGGCGUAAAGCGUGCGUAGACGGUUAUUUAAGUCGGGUGUGAAAGCCCCGGGCUCAACCUGGGAAUUGCAUUCGAGACUGAAUAGCUAGGGUACGGUAGAGGGAAGCGGAAUUUCCGGUGUAGCGGUGAAAUGCGUAGAUAUCGGAAGGAACAGCAGUGGCGAAAGCGGCUUCCUGGACCAAUACUGACGCUCAUGUGCGAAAGCGUGGGGAGCAAACAGG
rnacentral:rRNA from 1 species